UCAGGUUCUGAAAAAGGACCCAAAUACCCUUAGAUCCUUUUGAGGCUUAUGGGGUUCAGAGCACCCUCAGUCUUUUCCACUUUCCUCUCCCCACAGAGGAAGGCAUUACUGGGUACCUACCUCCCAGCGGCUCUUUGGGGGUCAGAUUGUGGGCCAGGCUCUGGUGGCUGCAGCCAAGUCCGUGAGUGAAGACGUCCACGUGCACUCCCUGCACUGCUACUUUGUCCGGGCAGGCAUUGGAUACCCUGGAAUUUGGAGUUACAAGGGAUUGUGAGCCACCAUGCAGGUGGUAGGAACCUAACACCGGUCGUCCGCAAGAGCAGACAGCGUUGUUAACUGAUGAGACCUCACCUUCCUCGAUUUUGUUGUUGUUUUGAGUCAGGGUCUCUCUAUGUAGCGUGACUGGCCCGAAACUCACCAUUCAGACCAGGGCGGCCUGGAACUCACAGAGCUCUGCCUGCCUCUGGCUCCCGAGUGUUUCGGACUAAGGGCCUGCGACGCCACACCUGGCUCUCUUCUUUAUUCUCUUCUAGUGUCAGCACUGCUAAGUCCUCAUAGGGCUGUAAACUGCUAUGGAGACAGAAGGGGACCCAAAGGUGCCAGUGCUGUACCAUGUGGAGAGGACACGAACAGGAGCAAGCUUCUCAGUGCGUGCAGUGAAGGCUGUGCAGCAUGGCAAGGCCAUCUUCAUCUGC
rnacentral:lncRNA from 1 species